rnacentral:rRNA from 1 species
CCUACGGGAGGCUGCAGUGGGGAAUAUUGGACAAUGGGGGGAACCCUGAUCCAGCCAUGCCGCGUGUGUGAAGAAGGCCCUCGGGUUGUAAAGCACUUUCAGUGAGGAAGAACGCCUGGUGGUUAAUACCCAUCAGGAAAGACAUCACUCACAGAAGAUGCACCGGCUAACUCCGUGCCAGCAGCCGCGGUAAUACGGAGGGUGCGAGCGUUAAUCGGAAUUACUGGGCGUAAAGCGCGCGUAGGUGGCUUGAUAAGCCGGUUGUGAAAGCCCCGGGCUCAACCUGGGAACGGCAUCCGGAACUGUCAAGCUAGAGUGCAGGAGAGGAAGGUAGAAUUCCCGGUGUAGCGGUGAAAUGCGUAGAGAUCGGGAGGAAUACCAGUGGCGAAGGCGGCCUUCUGGACUGACACUGACACUGAGGUGCGAAAGCGUGGGUAGCAAACAGGAUUAGAUACCCUUGUAGUC